GACGAACGCUGGCGGCGUGCUUAACACAUGCAAGUCGAGCGGAGCGGCGAACGGGUGAGUAACGCGUGAGUAACUGCCCCCCUCUCUGGGAUAACAGUUGGAAACGGCUGCUAAUACCGGAUAGUGGGGGAUGACUCGCGUCCUAUCAGCUUGUUGGUGGGGUAGUGGCCUACCAAGGCGACGACGGGUAGCCGGCCUGAGAGGGCGACCGGCCACAAUUGCCAGAUGUACGGACCAAAAUCCGACGGGAGGCAGCAGUGGGGAAUAGUGCACGAUGGGGGAAAGCGUGGUGCAGCAACGCCGCGUGCGGUAUGACGGCCUUCGGGUUGUAAACCGCUUUCAGCCAUGACGCGGUAGUGGCAGAAGAAGCACCGGCUAACCACGUGCCAGCAGCCGCGGUAAUUC
rnacentral:rRNA from 1 species